CAAGACUAACCACUGAUUCCAGCAUAAGCCGUCUUGCUGACAUCUUCCCGCCCCUCUGUUGUUGACAGUCAUCAGCUUUAUGGAUGUACACUUCCUCAUCUGAUGAAACACAAAAGUGAUGCCCUCACAGACUCUUCUGAAGCAUUUCCUGCUCCAAGGAAAAAACAAGAUGGACUCUUUGCUUUGAUGAGGAGAUACUUUAGAGACACAGCAAAUGGGUGAAAAAAACACUCUGUGGGAGCUGCGGCACCCACAGGCACCACAUGGAGGAUUGCUACUCACUGAUACAGCACUUUUGAAGGACAGAGAAGCUGAGUUUCGUUCACAUCAUGAAGAGUGUCGUUGUUUGCUUUAGCAGCUAGGAAAAUACAAGCGAA